CACAGGGAGUAUGGUCCCCAGAGUGUUGGUGCUGACCUAGGAUCUUAGAGAUGGGUCCUAUUAGAAGGCCAUUAGCUCAUGGGAGCUCCUCCAUCAUGAAGGGAUUGAGAUAAAGAAUAUGGAGCACCUUCAAAGAGCAGUAGCAGGUACAUGAUCCCGCAGGAGGCAAAGACUGAGAGGCUGGAGCACCAAGAAGAGGCUUCCACUCAGGUCUCACUCUGCAGGGAGCAGGAGAGAGAAAGAAAGAGAGAGAAGGGGUAUCUUCUACUUCACAAAUUCCUGCAACAUCCAGGAAUGUCCAAAACCAGAAGCCAAGAAGGCCACGUGGGUCUCCCACAGAGAUCACAGGGACUCAGCAGCUUGAGCCAUCAUCUCCUGCCUCCCUGGAUGGGCAUUAGCAAGAAGAUGGCUGGGACGCGGGGUAUCUGGGCUUUCACUGGGCUUUCUGAUAUGGUGUACAGGUAUCCCAAGUGGCAGCUUCACCUGGCAUGCCACAACAGUGGCCUCUAUUUCCUGUAUUUCUAAUUGGGAGGAACCUCUUAUUUGUAAACUUUCUAUUCAAGACUAUUCUCAUUUUUAUUAGAUAGUGGAUAUUUUUGUCUAUUUUUAUGUUGUGGGGGUGUUUUGCACACAUACAACCACAGCAGACCUUCCAAGCACACAAAUGUGCAUGAGUAGUAUGGUGGGUAUGUGUCAAAUGUGUUAGGUCUGGAAUAGCUCGGGGUUCUGGUCUUUUGUACCCUCAGAAAGGAAAGAAAGGAAAAGGAGACGGAGACCGACCUCAACAGAGACAGGUUGCUUUAUUGGAAGCAAAGAGGUUGGCGACAGUCUGUUCUUGGGAAGAGACCAAGCUGGGCACAUUUAGGAUUUAGGUUUUAUCUCCUAGGAGGUAAUUUGCCACUGGGGGGUGGUGGAGAAGGCAGCUGGCAGAAGAGUAGGGGGCUCUUUGAAGUCUCAGGGAAUUUCCCUCUUAUGUGUUUCAUGGCUGCCCUGUGCAGCUUAUCUGUUUUGCCAUUUGCAUUGCAAGGAGUUGAGAAGGGUCUGGUUAGGCACCAAGGGUCUCCUCUCAACAAAACUGAGGAUGCGGGGUGGGGAGGGGGGAGAAGGAAGAAAGGGAGAAAGGGAAAGGUGCAACAUGUCCUUUAAAAUGUAUGUACUGUGAAUAUUCGCUCAAACUCUGUGGAUUGAUUUUUAAUUUUGUUCGUGGUAUCUUUUGGAGAGAUUGUUUAACGUUAGCGAUUCAUUGGUUUUUCUUGAUGUUUAGUGCUUUUUAUCCAUUCAAAAUACAUUGGGUCUGCAAGAUCACAGGUAUAUUUACCUAAUCUUUUAUUUAUCUUGAAUGCUAAUAUCAAAGCAAUCAUUACA